GGUGACGCUCUCACGCUGAAUUUCUACAGAGCCAACAGCCUGAGUGGGAGUGGAUAAACCUUCUGCUCCCUCAGAGGACUGAGUGGGCUGCUGCCAUCCGCUGUGCAGGCACCAGAAAUGGAGGCUGAGAUGGAGACCAUGGAAAAAAGAGGAGGAAAGGGAAAAUAAAGGUUGAAUGUCUGGAUUGGGAGACAUUUGAACACGAGUGGAGUGGACUGGUGUGGAAUGAGGAGAGACAAGCAACCUCAGCAAUUAUGCCAGUGCCAAGAGAGGAAAGAGAGGAAGUAGCACCCUGUGGGCCCCCCUGCCUUCAUUCAUCUUGGAAAAGAUGCUCAGGCUCAGUCCCUCGACUAAGUGCAGCCUUUCCAUAUCGAGUUGGUGACGUGGUUGGCUACAGAUUGCCGUGCUUCCUAUUGCUUUCAUUAAAUUAGCUCCCCUUCCUGUGUCCUGGCCAAUAAAUGGGGAAGGAGGCCUGUGGUGAAACCACUGGUUGCUUUGAAACAUUCCCACAAAGCACUGCUGCCCUCUGUUGUUCUAUUUAGCCAUCUACCCUUUCAAUUAGGUCCUUUACAUGCUACUACUAUAAAAAAAAAAGACCAAGGACAUUAAAAAAACAUAGAGAUUUUUUUUUUAUCAACUUAAAACUCAUUUUAAACACAUUUGAGUCGAACUUCUAAUAAACUAACUUAACCCAG